rnacentral:lncRNA from 1 species
UGACCUUUUUGGAAGUCCCCUCGUGAUGCACCAGUUUUUUUACGAGCGGGACAUUAAACGUUGCUCGCGACUGGAGACACGGUCCACCGGUUCAUUUACUGGCAUAAGUUGUAAUGCCGGGUCAUUUGGCUUAAUAUUUUUCGUGCAUUUAUUUAUAGUCCAUCACGUCAUAAGAGUGUCAUUACGAGUAUGUUACAUAGUAGAACAACAAAAAUAGAUGUGCGGCGAGCAGUCUGUUCAUCUAGGCAUGAGUCGAGGCAUUGGGGCAUUUCACUUGAUAUUAGAACUAGCGCAUAGUGAAAUAAAUGAUGGGAGGGGGAGGGAAGGAGAAAGAGCACAUGCAUUUGCAACACAGAAUGAGAAGCGUGCGAUCAUACCAACCCUAACGCACCAGAUCCCACCAGAACUCCAUAGUG